GGAUUUGUCAUUUGCUCUAUUUCAAAAUUAACUGAGAAGAUGAACAAUAAAAUACGUGAUGUUGGAAUGUCCCGCACUAACAAGACCUUUGGUAGGAUAACUUAACUAAUACAUGCAGCAGUUUAUGUAGUUAUAUCGUUUUCACUAUCUUUCCAUCUUUCAUUUUUGUUGCUGUGUAAUUGGCUAUUUUCAAUAACUUCGUAACAAUUUGUUUUUCUCUUGGCCUCACAUUAUUAUCCAAACUCCUAAACUCUCCUUCCUUUUCCUCUGCAAAUUCUGCUUACACCCCCCUUAAAAAAACCCUGCGAAAGACUGUUCGGUUGAAACGUAUUCAGGGUUGCCUUUCCUACUCAUUUUCAAUCUCUCGCCUUUAUCGUAUCCCACAAAAUAUUUCACCUCUUCUAGUUCCUAUAUAAAUCGUAGUUUCCAUAGUUUAUUACGUAUAUGUUUACCAUAGGAGUCGAAGUAAAGGCGCUGUUACACUAAGCAAAUUGUUUCGGAACUUGUCUCGCAAUGUUAAGAAAAACGAUUUCAGGAUUGCAUUGCAAGGGAUGUUCCACCAAGCAAUAUGUUCCAUGCAACUUGCAAUGUUCAUUAUUAAAAAUAGUAUAAAAACUGUGAGUGCUAACGUUUGGUGCCAUAUUGUCAGUCAAAAGUCAAUAGGAAACCACUCAUUGUAUAAACAUUGCGAGACUAGUUGCAAGAGGGAUGUGCAACUUGUGUUGCAACAAAAUUGCGAGACAAAUUGCAUAGUGUAACAGUGCCUUAAAUAACAACCAUUUUGAAAACUUGUCCUCUAAUUAUUUAGGCUGCACAAUGUCUUACACCAGUAUAUUUGUCCAUGUCCAUUACUUAUUUUACACCAAAAAAAUGACGAUUUAAAUUAUAAGGUACGAACCAUAAAAACGCUGGNNNNNNNNNNNNNNNNNNNNNNNNNNNNNNNNNNNNCCCUAUAAUUAAUGACCGGUGAUCGAGAAUUAAUGAUCCAGAGGGUUGAUCCAGAGGGUUGAUCCAGAGUUUUUAAGGAGUAUAAUAUACAAUUGGUUCACUUCACCUGAAUCCAUUUUCCUCAAUAAUUUGGCGUGUUUAAUUUUUUUUCCGGUUCUUUGUCUUUAUUAGCAACGGGCUUGGAUCAUUAAGCAUCGUUUUACAUCACUUUUUCACCUCCUUAUAGGAAUUUUGUUUGAAAAUAAAACAUGGUUGUUGCUUGUGCAGACCUAUCCGAAGACUUUACUUUACAGUUUACAAUUGUUGACUAUUUAGAAACAAAUAUACCAAGAAAUUUCAACGCAUCGUUAUAUCCGUGCUUGUAAAUUUUCUGUAGAUCAUUUUUUGACGGUGGAAAUAACGCUUGAAAACCACGUUCCAUGUUUUGGAAGUUAACUACGACAUUCAUGUUCUUAACAAGUUCUGCAGUAAAAAGCUUGUACGAGUGUUUAUCUUCCGGGCAGAUAUCGAAAUCUCCACAGAAUGGUGAAACACGGAUUGUUUUCCCUGUUUCAAAUACAGGUAGGUUGUCGGAGAAUCCACCAUCAAACAAUUUCU
rnacentral:lncRNA from 1 species